rnacentral:tRNA from 2 species
GCGGAAGUGACUCAAUGGUAGAGUGUCACCUUCCCAAGGUGAACGUUGCGGGUUCGAGCCCCGUCUUUCGCUCCA